AAGUUGGGAAUUUUGUCGAUUGGUUCAGGCCAUGGGAACUGCCGAUUUGCAUCACCCAACAGCACUCCAAUAACAACACCAAUUACGACCCCUACAUACUCAACGCCAACACUUCCAAUUUCGCCACCAAGCACAAGUACGCCGGUGAAUCCUUAUCCACCAGGAGGAAACGGCGGUUACGGUUCGGAACCAGCAGGAGGCUAUGACUAUGGUUCGGAACCAGCGAGCACACCUAAUACAGCUGGCACAAUGAUGUCACUCAACCUAAUUCUGCUCAUUACAAUGAAUUGUCUCGUAUUUUCAGUUGCUUUAGGCAACCGUUUCUAAACAAGCAGAGACGGGAUUUGGUUAUUUAUCUCCCAAGAAUGAGAUAAAUUUAAUACUUGGCAGCUUCCAAGCUAUGCAAAAAUUUUGAGGCAGAGAGAUACAAAUCUCAAGGCCUUAACCGUAUGGUUAUUGGUUCGGUUCGAUGCUUUCAGACAAGAGUAGGAAGCAAGGAAGUAGGGGGAAGGUCGUAUCACAAAUGUUCUAGAUAAUUACAGCUACGUUUCUUUAAGUUUAAUAAAUAUUUAUACCACACAUAUACCUGCUUUAGGACAGUUUUAGUGAACAGAUGUGUAAUAUACUCAGGACGACAAGUGACCACAAGAUUAAUAAAUUACGUUCCUAGUUAUAUAUGUUUUA